rnacentral:tRNA from 3 species
GGGAGCGUAGCUCAGUUGGUUAGAGCGCAUCGUUGACAUCGAUGAGGUCGCUGAUUCGAAUUCAGUCGCACCCACCA